AACGAACGCUGGCGGCAGGCUUAACACAUGCAAGUCGAACGGGCGUAGCAAUACGUCAGUGGCAGACGGGUGAGUAACACGUGGGAACCUUCCUAGGGGUACGGAACAACUCAGGGAAACUUGAGCUAAUACCGUAUACGUCCGAGAGGAGAAAGAUUUAUCGCCCUUAGACGGGCCCGCGUCGGAUUAGGUAGUUGGUGGGGUAACGGCCUACCAAGCCGACGAUCCGUAGCUGAUCUGAGAGGAUGAUCAGCCACACUGGGACUGAGACACGGCCCAGACUCCUACGGGAUGCAGCAGUGGGGAAUCUUGGAGAUUGGGCGCAAGCCUGCUCCAGCCAUGCCGCGUGAGUGAAGAAGGCCUUAGGGUUGUAAAGCUCUUUUGGCAGGGACGAUAAUGACGGUACCUGCAGAAUAAGCCCCGGCAAACUUCGUGCCAGCCGCCGCCGUAACAC
rnacentral:rRNA from 1 species